rnacentral:rRNA from 1 species
GACGAACGCUGGCGGCGUGCUUAACACAUGCAAGUCGAACGGAAAGGCCCUGCUUUUGUGGGGUGCUCGAGUGGCGAACGGGUGAGUAACACGUGAGUAACCUGCCCUUGACUUUGGGAUAACUUCAGGAAACUGGGGCUAAUACCGGAUAGGAGCUCCUGCUGCAUGGUGGGGGUUGGAAAGUUUCGGCGGUUGGGGAUGGACUCGCGGCUUAUCAGCUUGUUGGUGGGGUAGUGGCUUACCAAGGCUUUGACGGGUAGCCGGCCUGAGAGGGUGACCGGCCACAUUGGGACUGAGAGACGGCCCAGACUGCUACGGGAGGCAGCAGUGGCGAAUCUUGCACAAUGGGCGGAAGCCUGAUGCAGAAACGCCGCGUGCGGGAUGACGGCCUUCGGGUUGUAAACCGCUUUAGCCUGUGACGAAGCGUGAGUGACGGUAAUGGGUAAAGAAGCACCGGCUAACUACGUG